CCUAUGGGGAGGCAGCAGUGAGGAAUAUUGGUCAAUGGCCGCAGGGCUGAACCAGCCAAGUCGCGUGAGGGAUGACGGUCCUAUGGAUUGUAAACCUCUUUUGUCAGGGAGCAAAGGGCGCCACGUGUGGCGUUUUGCGAGUAUCUGAAGAUAAAGCAUCGGCUAAGUCCGUGCCAGCAGCCGCGGUAGUACGGAGGAUGCGAGCGUUAUCCGGAUUAUUUGGGUUAAAGGGGGGCGCAGGCGGAAGGUCAAGUCGGCGGUAAAAUUUCGGGCCUCAACCCCGUCGUGCCGUUGAUACUGGCGGUCUUGAGUGAGCGAGAAGUAUGCGGAAUGCGUGGUGUAGCGGUGAAAUGCAUAGAUAUCACGCAGAACUCCGAUUGCGAAGGCAGCAUACCGGCACUCAACUGACGCUCAUGCACGAAAGCGUGGGUAUCGAACAGGAUUAGAUACCCGAGUAGUC
rnacentral:rRNA from 1 species